CGCGUAGGUGGUUUGUUAAGCGAGAUGUGAAAGCCCCGGGCUUAACCUGGGAACUGCAUUUGAAUACUGGCGGGCUAGAGUAUGGUAGAGGGAAGUGGAAUUCCGGGUGUAGCGGUGAAAUGCGUAGAUAUCCGGAAGAACACCAGUGGCGAAGGCGGCUUCCUGGACCAAUACUGACGCUGAGGCGCGAAAGCGUGGGGAGCAAACA
rnacentral:rRNA from 1 species